rnacentral:rRNA from 1 species
GUAGGGGGCUAGCGUUGCUCGGAUUUACUGGGCGUAAAGAGCGCGUAGGCGGCCAGGUAAGUCCGGUGUGAAAGCCCUCGGCUCAACCGAGGAUCCGCAUCGGAAACUACCUGGCUUGAGUCCAGGAGAGGAGGGUGGAAUUCCCGAUGUAGCGGUGAAAUGCGUAGAUAUCGGGAGGAACACCUGUGGCGAAGGCGGCCCUCUGGAAUGGUACUGACGCUGAGGCGCGAAAGCUGGGGGAGCGAACGGGGAUUAGAUACCCCGGUAGUCCCAGCUGUAAACGAUGGGCACUAGGUGUGGGAGGUAUUGACCCCCUUCCGUGCCGCAGCUAACGCAUUAAGUGCCCCGGCCUGGGGGAGUACGGCCGCAAGGUUG